UACGAAGGGGGCUAGCGUUGCUCGGAAUCACUGGGCGUAAAGCGCACGUAGGCGGCUUUUUAAGUCGGUGGUGAAAUCCUGGAGCUCAACUCCAGAACUGCCUUUGAUACUGGAGAGCUAGAGUCCGGAAGAGGUGAGUGGAACUGCGAGUGUAGAGGUGAAAUUCGUAGAUAUUCGCAAGAACACCAGUGGCGAAGGCGGCUCACUGGUCCGGAACUGACGCUGAGGUGCGAAAGCGUGGGGAGCAAACAGG
rnacentral:rRNA from 1 species